rnacentral:rRNA from 1 species
UACGGGGGGAGCAAGCGUUGUUCGGAUUUACUGGGCGUAAAGGGCGCGUAGGCGGUCAGUGCAAGUCAGUUGUGAAAUCUCCGGGCUUAACUCGGAAAGGUCAACUGAUACUGCUCGACUAGAGUGGCGGAAGGGGCAACUGGAAUUCUUGGUGUAGCGGUGAAAUGCGCAGAUAUCAGGAGGAACACCGGUGGCGAAGGCGUGAU